rnacentral:snRNA from 1 species
GUGUUCACUUCGGAGCACAUAUACUAAAAUUGAAAUGACACAGAGAAGAUUAGCAUGGCCGCUGAGCAGGGAUGACAUGCAAAUUCAUGAAGCGUUCCAUAUUUCU